GGGGCUGUAGCUCAGUGGUAGAGCACUUGCCUAGCAUGUGUGAGACACUGGGUUUGAUUCUCAGUACCACCU
rnacentral:tRNA from 1 species